ACCGCACCCAGCUACCAGCGUCUCCUUCAACGUCGCCGUGCGCAUCCUGUCCCUCUCUCUGCAUCUCCGUCACCGAAGAUCCGAAGUGUGUAUGAAGUUU